GACGAACGCUGGCGGCGUGCUUAACACAUGCAAGUCGAACGGAAAGGCCCUGCUUUUGUGGGGUGCUCGAGUGGCGAACGGGUGAGUAACACGUGAGUAACCUGCCCUUGACUUUGGGAUAACUUCAGGAAACUGGGGCUAAUACCGGAUAGGAGCUCCUGCUGCAUGGUGGGGGUUGGACAGUUUCGGCGGUUGGGGAUGGACUCGCGGCUUAUCAGCUUGUUGGUGGGGUAGUGGCUUACCAAGGCUUUGACGGGUAGCCGGCCUGAGAGGGUGACCGGCCACAUUGGGACUGAGAUACGGCCCAGACUCCUACGGGAGGCAGCAGUGGGGAAUAUUGCACAAUGGGUGGAAGCCUGAUGCAGCAACGCCGCGUGCGGGAUGACGGCCUUCGGGUUGUAAACCGCUUUCGCCUGUGACGAAGCGUGAGUGACGGUAAUGGGUAGAGAAGCACCGGCUAACUACGUG
rnacentral:rRNA from 1 species